rnacentral:misc_RNA from 1 species
GCAGGCAAGAGGCCUAGGCCUGGGACUAGAGGGAUGGAGAGACAAUUGAGCCAGGGUUACGUCCUCAUCUCCAGCAGAUUUGGGAUUCUUGUCACCUAGCGAAGCCGUUUUGUUCAAAUUUCCCUCUUCCGCCUCCCUCUUUAUCCUUUCUGCCAUGACUUGCCUCGCCAAUUUGUCUCCAAGCAAACCUGAGAGCUUGAAAGGGAAAAAAAAAAAAAAAA